rnacentral:rRNA from 1 species
UACAGAGGUCCCAAGCGUUGUUCGGAUUCACUGGGCGUAAAGCGCGCGCAGGCGGCUAUCCAAGUCAGUGGUGAAAGCCCGGAGCUUAACUCCGGAACUGCCAUUGAAACUGUUUAGCUUGAGGACGAGAGAGGUGAGUGGAAUUCCCAGUGUAGAGGUGAAAUUCGUAGAUAUUGGGAAGAACACCGGUGGCGAAGGCGGCUCACUGGCUCGUUUCUGACGCUCAGGCGCGACAGCGUGGGGAUCAAACAGG